UUUGACUAAAAUUUUUUUUUUGUCUUUAAAUCUUUUAUUGUCGUAACAUCACAUGGUUUUGUGAUAACAAAACAUAAAUAACUUGUAAACGUCUUACACAAGUAAUAGUGGGGAAACUAACAACAUUUGAAAGACUUUCUUUCACAGCCCCAUACUCUUAUUUUACACAUACGAGAACAAUGAUGAAGCAACUCCUCCUCUUUGUUAUCAUUUCAUCCUUUCUCAUCGUACGCAUGAAUACGUUACCAUCGUCACGCACGGGGGAGUACUACCAAUGCAUGACAGCUGUUGUGUCGAAAUAUUACCAAUGCUGUCAAAAUAUUACAAAAAAUUUCGCUAGAUCCUAUUGGAAAUGUUUGUACAUAAAAAGCAUCGCCGAGGAAGAGUGUGUCACGCUAUUGGAUGCAUAAUUUAGAUUAUGUUUAAACCAUUUUAGAAGAUAAAAUUUGUGAAAAUACAUAGUAUGGAUAAUAAAGGGCGGUUUUGUUUAUUUUCCGGUAAAUAUAAGAAAGCAAACCCUGGUUG